rnacentral:rRNA from 1 species
GAUGAACGCUGGCGGCGUGCUUAACACAUGCAAGUCGAACGGUGAACGAGGGAGCUUGCUCCCUCCGGAUCAGUGGCGAACGGGUGAGUAACACGUGAGCAAUCUGCCCUGGACUCUGGGAUAAGCGUUGGAAACGACGUCUAAUACCGGAUACGAGGCGUGGGGGCAUCCCCAACGCCUGGAAAGAACUUCGGUCCAGGAUGAGCUCGCGGCCUAUCAGCUUGUUGGUGAGGUAACGGCUCACCAAGGCGACGACGGGUAGCCGGCCUGGGAGGGUGACCGGCCACACUGGGACUGAGACACGGCCCAGACUCCUACGGGAGGCAGCAGUGGGGAAUAUUGCACAAUGGGCGCAAGCCUGAUGCAGCAACGCCGCGUGAGGGACGACGGCCUUCGGGUUGUAAACCUCUUUUAGCAGGGAAGAAGCGAAAGUGACGGUACCUGCAGAAAAAGCACCGGCUAACUACGUGCCAGCAGCCGCCGCCGUAA